UGAUAAAAUAUUCAUCUAUUUGUGUUGUUAAAAAUUGGUUUAGCUAAUGAAAUAACUAGAUAAUGAUAAGUGACGUGUCAUGUAUACCUCAUGAUGAUGUAUAGGGACAAGUUUUUUACAGUAAAUAUAGAUAGAAUUUUUAAUA
rfam:Gossypium arboreum cultivar AKA8401 contig_10100_3, whole genome shotgun sequence.